UACGGAGGGGGCUAGCGUUGUUCGGAAUUACUGGGCGUAAAGCGCACGUAGGCGGAUUGCUAAGUCAGGGGUGAAAUCCCGAGGCUCAACCUCGGAACUGCCUUUGAUACUGGCAAUCUCGAGUCCGGGAGAGGUGAGUGGAAUUCCUAGUGUAGAGGUGGAAUUCGUAGAUAUUAGGAGGAACACCAGUGGCGAAGGCGGCUCACUGGCCCGGUACUGACACUGAGGUGCGAAAGCGUGGGGAGCAAACAGG
rnacentral:rRNA from 1 species